rnacentral:rRNA from 1 species
UGGGGAAUAUUGCACAAUGGGGGAAACCCUGAUGCAGCGACGCCGCGUGAACGAAGAAAGUUUUCGUUUCGUAAAGUUCUUUUCUAUGGGAAGAUAAUGACAGUACCAUAGAAGAAAGCUCCGGCUAAAUACGUGCCAGCAGCCGCGGUAAUACGUAUGGAGCGAGCGUUGUCCGGAAUUAUUGGGCGUAAAGGGUAUGCAGGCGGUUUAAUAAGUCGAAUGUUAAAGAUCGGGGCUCAACCCCGCAAAGCAUUGGAAACUGAUAAACUUGAGUAGUGGAGAGGAAAGUGGAAUUCCUAGUGUAGUGGUGAAAUACGUAGAUAUUAGGAGGAAUACCAGUAGCGAAGGCGACUUUCUGGACACAAACUGACGCUGAGGUACGAAAGCGUGGGGAGCAAACAGG